rnacentral:lncRNA from 1 species
GGCCCAAAGAACCAAAACCAAUUAUCAAACGAGCCCACGAUCCAUUUACCUUUCAAAUUAUUUACCCAACCCAAUUUACAUAUCUAAUAUCCACUAUCCAACCCAAUUAACCAAAAAUUCCCAAAAUUCAAUUCAAUCAAAAACUCCCAAAAUUCCCAAAAUCAAAAAUUCCCCAAAAUCUCUGCUCGACGCCCAGCCUCUGCUGCAGCUCUGCUCGUCACUCGACAGUCCCCACUCCAGUCCAGUAGUCGUCGGCUCGUCGCCACUCGCCUGUCGUCUAGCAGAGGUGGCCACGGUCUCCACUUCAUCAUCUUCCCAACCAUUUCGUUC